rnacentral:sRNA from 1 species
AUUUAUAUGAAUGACGUGUUAUGUAUUUGAAAAUCCUCGAGCAUCAGCUUACCAGCUUGUUCAUGGAGUCUUUCCUUCCAUAUAUCGCAACACCACAUAAAUGAUUCUAUUGGCUACAACUGCAUUUAUAUGCGAAUUAUUUUGAAAAUUAAGGAGACAUCAUGUCUAAAGCAACUGGUAACGUAAAAUGGUUUAACGAAACUAAAGGUUUCGGUUUUAUUUCUCAAGACGACGGCGGCGCUGACGUAUUCGUUCACUUCCGUGCAAUCGUUUCUGACGGUUUCAAGACUCUUGCUGAAGGUCAAAAAGUUUCUUUUGACGUUGAACAAGGUCAAAAAGGUCCUCAAGCUGCAAACGUUGUUUGUCUAUAAGCUUGUCGAUUUUGACAGAUUAUUGAAAAAGCAGGCCUAGGCCUGCUUUUUUUU